rnacentral:rRNA from 1 species
UUGAAAGGGAAACGAUUGAAGUCAGUCGUAUCGACGAGAAAUCAACUUUUCGAGUGCGAAUUUGUGGGCGUGCGUGAGCUGUUAAAGGCCUCGCUGUUUGCAAUUAGUGCUUUUUGGGUGUACUUUUUCGUAUGGUAGGCCAACGUCAGUUUCGAUCACCAUAAAAUGAUUGGAGGAAUGUAGCUUCGAUCUCGUAUUGAAGUGUUAUAGCCUUUGGUAGAUGUGGUGAUCGAAACUGAGGAUUGCAACGAAUACCCUUUGGGCUAUCCGUCUGACCUCUGGAAGUUGCUUAGAUGCCAAAAGCUUGCUUAUGGUAUUUAAGACAAUGAAGUCGGCAGUCAAAAGGUUAGAACGUGAUUACAUUCGUUAAGGAUGUUGACGUA